rnacentral:rRNA from 1 species
AGUGAACGCUGGCGGUAGGCCUAACACAUGCAAGUCGAACGGCAGCACAGUAAGAGCUUGCUCUUACGGGUGGCGAGUGGCGGACGGGUGAGGAAUACAUCGGAAUCUACUUUUUCGUGGGGGAUAACGUAGGGAAACUUACGCUAAUACCGCAUACGACCUACGGGUGAAAGCAGGGGAUCUUCGGACCUUGCGCGAUUGCAUGAGCCGAUGUCGGAUUAGCUAGUUGGCGGGGUAAAGGCCCACCAAGGCGACGAUCCGUAGCUGGUAUGAGCGGAUGGUCAGCCACACUGGAACUAAGGCACGUACAAGACUCCUGCGGGAGGCAGCCGUGGGGAAUAUUGGACAAUGGGGCCAAGCCUAAUCCAGCCAUACCGCGUGGGUGAAGAAGGCCUUCGGGUUGUAAAGCCCUUUUGUUGGGAAGGAAAGGCAGCAGGUUAAUCCCCCGCUGUUCUGACAGUACCCAAAGAAUAAGCUCCGGCUAACUUCGUG